GAAUUUAGAGGGGCGCCGAGGACCUGGAGGGAAGUCUCAGCCCGGAUUUAAAUCUUGCAAUCACCGCUGGGAAGCGAGCUGUAUCAUCUUGAGAAAUCAGACCACAGAGCUGGGCCUGCAGCUGGCAGGCUGGGUCAUCUUUAAUCGCUUAACCCUUCAUAUCAAAGGAUGGGUCGUAGCAGCAGAUUCCUCCUCAAGAAUUUGCCAUGGCAGAUUUUCUCAAGGAAGAUCUGGGAGUUAAAAUGAAGCAGAGUGUGUACAGCAAAAACCUUGCCUUGUAAGUUGGCUUUUAUGCCUAUACACAUGAUUGGUUUUAUGUGUAUGUCUAUGUAACUCUCUCUUAUGGGCCUGUGUCCAUGCCUGGGAUAUGUGUGGCUGUGAUGUGUAUGUACACCUGUUGCCUGGGAUAUGUGUGGCUGUGAUGUGUAUGUACACCUGUUUAAUGUGAAAAUGUGCUGUAUGCAUGUGUGGCUG
rnacentral:lncRNA from 1 species